rnacentral:rRNA from 1 species
CAGGAUACCAUAUUCAACCAAACUCCGAAUACCGCAUGUGAAAUCUAUGGAGUGAGACAGUGAGGGAUAAGCUUCAUUGUCAAGAGGGAAACAGCCCAGACUGCCGACUAAGGUACCGGAAGGAUAACUAAGUGAGAAAGGAAGUGAUUGUGCUAAGACAGCCAGGAUGUUGGCUUAGAAGCAGCCACCAUUUAAAAAGUGCGUAAUAGCUUACUGGUCGAGGACAAUUGCGCCAAAAAUUGAAGGUACUGAAGUUAUCUACCGAAGUCGCGGAUUUAGCGAGAGCUAAGUGGUAGGGGAGCGUUCUGAGGGUAGAAGGCUGACCGAGAGGACAGUUGGACCGUAAGAAGUGAUAAUGCCGGAAUGAGUAGCGAGAAAAUAAGUGAGAAUCUUAUUCGUCGAAAGCCUAAGGUUUCCUGGGGUAGGUAAAUCCGCCCAGGGUUAGUCGGUACCUAAGACGAGGUCGAAGGACGUAGCCGAUGGACAACAGGUUAAUAUUCCUGUACUACUGUUAAUUGGAGGAGAGAUCCGGGAGAGAAGUGGUGACGGAGGAGGCUAUAUCAACCCUGUGCAUGGAAGUGCAGGGCCAAGCGUGUAGGUAGUAGCUGUAGGCAAAUCCGCAGUUAUGGUAAUCUGAGACGUGAUGGGUAUCGCAAGAGAAGUGAUAGACGCCCUACUUCCGAGAAAACCCGCUAUUUAGAGAGACAGUAACCGUACUAAAACUGACACAGGUAGGCGAGGAGAGAAUCCUAAGACGCUCGAGAGAAUCUUCGUUAAGGAACUCGGCAAAUUAGCCCCGUAACUUAGGGAUAAGGGGAGCCAUUGGUUGUGAAUAUUGAACGAUAGGAGCGAUCGAUGGUCGCAGAAAAGUGGCCCAGGCGACUGUUUACUAAAAACACAGGACUCUGCGAAGACGUGAAGUUGAAGUAUAGAGUCUGACGUCUGCUCGGUGCUGGAAGGUUAAGGCAAUAGGUUAGUGCGAGAGUACGAAGCUUAGACCCGAAGCCCCAGUAAACGGCGGCCGUAACUAUGACGGUCCUAAGGUAGCGAAAUUCCUUGUCGGGUAAGUUCCGACGUGCAUGAAUGACGUAACGACUUGGGCACUGUCUCAACGAAGAACUCGGCGAAAUUGUAGCAACGGUGAAGAUGCCGUUUACCCGCAACUAGACGGAAAGACCCCGUGAACCUUUACUAUAGCAUGUCAUUGUGUUUUGGCAUAAGAUGUGUAGGAUAGGUGGGAGACGUGGAAUGGGAGACGCCAGUCUUUCAGGAGUCGCCAUUGAAAUACCACCUUUUUUGUGUUAGAAUUCUAACUGAUGCCCGUGAACCGGGAUCAGGACAGUGAUAUGUGGGUAGUUUGACUGGGGCGGUCUCCUCCGAAAGAGUAACGGAGGAGUCCAAAGGUAUCCUCAACAUGGUUGGUAAUCAUGUGAAGAGCGUAAAGGUAGAAGGAUACUUGACUGCGAGAGCAAUAAUUCGAGCAGAUGUGAAAGCAGGGCUUAGUGAUCCGGUGAUGCCGUGUGGAAGGGUCAUCGCUCAACAGAUAAAAGGUACUCCGGGGAUAACAGGCUGAUCGCCUCCAAGAGUUCGUAUCGACGAGGCGGUUUGGCACCUCGAUGUCGGCUCGUCGCAUCCUGGGGCUGAAGAGGGUCCCAAGGGUUUGGCUGUUCGCCAAUUAAAGCGGCACGCGAGCUGGGUUUAGACCGUCGUGAGACAGGUCGGUCUCUAUCUGUUGUGGGUGUAGGAAACUUGAGGAGAAUUACCCCUAGUACGAGAGGAUUGGGGUGGACGUACCGCUGGUGUACCAGUUGUCAUACCAAUGGCACAGCUGGGUAGCUACGUACGGAAUAGAUAAGCGCUGAAAGCAUAUAAGCGCGAAGCGGACUUUAAAACUAGGUUUCCCGAUAGAGACCACAGAGACGAUGUGGUAGAUAGGUCGGAUGUGUAGAGACAGUAAUGUAAGAGCUAACCGAUCCUAAUAACUCGAAAGACUUAUGU